rnacentral:rRNA from 1 species
UACGAAGGGUGCAAGCGUUAAUCGGAAUUACUGGGCGUAAAGGGUGCGUAGGCGGUUCGUUAAGUCUGUUGUGAAAUCCCCGGGCUCAACCUGGGAAUGGCAAUGGAUACUGGCGGGCUAGAGUGUGUCAGAGGAUGGUGGAAUUCCCGGUGUAGCGGUGAAAUGCGUAGAGAUCGGGAGGAACAUCAGUGGCGAAGGCGACCAUCUGGGACAACACUGACGCUGAAGCACGAAAGCGUGGGGAGCAAACAGG